rnacentral:rRNA from 1 species
AUUGAACGCUGGCGGCAGGCCUAACACAUGCAAGUCGAGCGAGCGGCGGACGGGUGAGUAAUGUCUGGGAAACUGCCUGAUGGAGGGGGAUAACUACUGGAAACGGUAGCUACUACCGCAUACCAUCAGAUGUGCCCAGAUGGGAUUAGCUAGUAGGUGGGGUAACGGCUCACCUAGGCGACGAUCCCUAGCUGGUCUGAGAGGAUGACCAGCCACACUGGAACGGAGGAACGGUCCAGACUCCGACGGGAGGCAGCAGUGGGGAAUAUUGCACAAUGGGCGCAAGCCUGAUGCAGCCAUGCCGCGUGUAUGAAGAAGGCCUUCGGGUUGUAAAGUACUUUCAGCGGGGAGGCGUUACCCGCAGAAGAAGCACCGGCUAACUCCGUGCCAGCAGCCGCGGUAAUAC